CUAAACAUGGUUAAAUAUCUUUCAUUGAAAAAAAUUAUAUGUUCAUGGUAGCAUGAUGUAAGAGUGUUAAUGUUGUAUGUAGUGGUAGAUGUUUUUAUUUUGUUGAUGUUUCAGUACUUGGAAUAUUGAAAGGUAUUUUGGGUCUACACAAUAUCAGAUGAUGUUCAACGUGCAACAAUGCAAACUACGUCGGUCAAGGUUUUGGCACUAUCAUGCCGACAUGUGUUAGUCCCGCGUCAACUAAAG
rnacentral:lncRNA from 1 species